CAUUUAAAUUUAUUUUUUUCCCUGUGUAUUUUUCUGUCUUUUGUAUUUAUAGCAUCAUUAUCAUCAAAAUAUAACACAGAGGCCUGAAUUUUAAACACAAUAUAAGUAGAUACCUCAUAACCUAGUACUGCUUUGGUUAUAAUAUCAGAAUAUUUUGGGUUAAAAGUAACAGAAAUACCCCAGUAAAAGUGGCUUGACAGAUUUGACUACCUCAACAGGAGCUCUAGAGAAAGGCCGUUCUGGAACUGGAACGGUAUUCCCUUCAAUGUUACAAGAUUGCUGUAGCCGUUCUAAGGGUCAUAUCCUUGAAUAAUAACCUCAAAGGCAGGAAACAGGGAGAGAGAGAGAAAGUAGGAAAAGGGCCUUCUCCCUAAGUCACCCCUGUCCUUUUCAUGGAGAAAAACCUUUCCAAGAAGUGUCCCAGCAGACCUCCCGGUACUGCUCACUGCUCGGAACCAGGUUACCUGCCUGUCCGGGAACCAGCCACUGACGAAGGACAGGGGGACUGCCACAGCUGGUGGGGCCUGGUAAUGAUUCAUUCCUGGUGGGGGGACACAUGAGCACCCUUCCAGAGCUGGAAUUCUGUCUUCGGGGAAAAGGAAGACUGGCUGUUAGAUGGGCAACCAACAGUGUCUGCCACAAUUGUUGAACUCUUUUAGUAUGGUCAAAUAACCACAUGAACAGAUGUAGGAUUACAAGUCUGACGAGUGCGAAGGAGGAGCAACUGGUGCUCUAUGAGUAUAAACUCAAGGGAUUUGAUUUAAGGUCAUCUGGCCACUCCUUUUUAUUUUAUUUUAUUUUAUUUUUUAAGAUUUUAUUUAUUUAUUUGAGAGAGUGAGAAUGAGAGAGAGAGAGAGCACAUGAGAGGGGGAAGGGUCAGAGGGAGAAGCAGACUCCCCGCUGAGCAGGGAGCCCGAUGCGGGACUCGAUCUCGGGACUCCUGGGACUCCAGGAUCAUGACCUGAGCUGAAGACAGUCGCUUAACCAACUGAGCCACCCAGGUGCCCCUGGCCACUCCUUUUUAAUGCACUGAUGAUGAAGCUAAUACAUGGAGAGAGUUUUAGAAGUUAAGUAGGCAAAGGGGUUAAGGGAUACUAGAAUGAGGUGGGGGGGUGUGGCGCUUUCCAAGCAGAGGAAGCAUGUUGUAUUUAUGGAGCCAGGAGAAGGCACACAGAUACUCACCACUAUUAUUACUAGCCUCUGGUUUGAUGAAGGCCUGUGGGUUACCUUUAGAGUAAGAAGAAAUUCUUAGGCUUGUAAGUAGGUUCCUGAAAUACUGAGACUUCUGAAGAUUUUCUUUGCUUUAAGGGGACAACAGAAGAGGUUAUUUGACCUGGACUUUUCUAGAAAAUCCUGGGUAUGGAGUUGUCAUAUAUAAACCUUAUAGGCAGAAAUCAGUCUGUUACUCCUUCUUCUUCCCUCUAAUAAUUUCUGCGGCUAGAAUCUUAGAUUGACAUCAAUUAAAAACACUAAGAAUGGCACCCUCACCCUUCCACAGGUUACCUAAAACCUUUUGGCACACUGACUCCAUCAACUCCAUGUAGCUCACACUUACAUGGUUCUCAUUAAAAAGUUUUUAAUUCAGUUGAACAUCAAGCAAAAAGCAGUUUCUCUGACACUUUGAGGGUUCCACAAAGGAGACAAUACAAUUUUUUAAAAUAAUAAAAUAAAUAAAAACUUUUGACUUCAAUACACAGAACUUUCCUGGACCCUGGGUUAUUUCCUAUAAAUAGAGAAUAGUAGUUUUUAUAAACUAUAAAACAGGGCUAUAGAACUCUAUCCAAAGACUAAAACCACCCUCUUUUGAAAAUCUACAGUUCUGUUACCAAAAGAAUGCAUGCAUUAUAUACUUUAAUGAUUGAAAAAAAUAGUAGUGAUACUUAAAUUCUCCUCGCAACUACAAAUUCAUAGAAACUAUUCAGGUUGAGAAAUUUGGAGUUUUAGUUUAGGCCUUUUUUUAGUGUGGUAUUAUUGUUACAAGUGCUCCAAAACAAUAGUGGCUUAAAUACAGUAAUAAGAUUGGUAAUGGUGCGACUAUCGUGUAUGUACCUUCAGCACAAGGGCUGGUGAAAGGCUGAUACUCUGAGAUCAGCUUCUCUCUCAUGAUCUAAGAAUGUCUGCUUCAGCUCCUGGAAUCACAUCUACAUUCCAGCCAGUGGGAAGAAGAGAGGGAUGCAGCUCCGUGGAAGGGCAUGACGCAGAUGCUAUGCACGUCACUUCUGCUUGCAUCCUUUUGGCAAGAACUUAGUUACAUGGUCACAACUAGCUACAAGAGAGGUAGGAAAUAUUGCGGAAAAAUUGUCUUAGGCAGGCAGCCCAUGUGCCUAUCGAAAACUCAGAGAGCCUAUUUCUAAAAUAAAAAAGUGGAGAAUGGAUAUUGGAAGACCGUAGCGGUGUGUGCUAUAUUCGCCAUCUUUUGGCAAUUGCCAAAGGAACGAGUUGUGUAGCUUUAAGCUUAGAUGUGAGUAUGUAAUCAAAGGGUUAAAUGAAUGUCUGUGCAGACACAAUUCUAUUUAUGCAUCUUAUACUCCACAUAACCUGGCUUCAUUCAUUUUUAUAUUCCUGCCAUCUAGCUUAAUAUACUACUGAAAAUAAACACAUCAUACAUGGUUUGGAAUGAAUGAAGGAACAUCCCUUUUUGCCUUUCUAGUAUAAUCUGUAUUAUGUGUGAAUUUUUUUUCACACUUGCCAUUUGUUUGUUCCUAUCUAUACUUUACUUACUUUUUUAAAGAGGAUUUAGAAGUAGAGAUGAUCAUAGUCCAUAGUACAAUAGAGACAUGCUUUGUGUCUUGUGUGUGUAUGUGUGUGUGUAAGAUCUGAGAAAUCUGAAUUAACUUCUACCACAGGACCAACUUUCCUUAACCCCCAAAGUGAUAGUAUUAACCCUACUAUUAAGUCUUAAUUAUUAAUAGAGUAGUUGUGUGUUUUUUGAAGGUUCAGGACUGUGUCUGAGAAUUAUAAAAACAUUCUUGUUUUUCAGCUGUUACCUGAUGUCAUUAAUUAGUUUGUGAAGACGUUUUCUCUGAACUUUAUGCGUGUAUUUUACAUAUUGACUAGCUAUCUCUGGAGAAGAUAAGAUGGCCUGAGGAACGAGAGUUUUUUGAUACAAUUUUUCACAUCUCAGAAAGAGGCAUUUUAUUGAGUUUUUGGCCACUGUACCUAUUUUUUUUUAGCCUUCUGUUAACCUCCAGAUUCAUUUGUUCAUGUGUUAAUUCCUACUACAUGUUUUUAAUAACUCUUAAAUGCCACAUGCUGCAGUAAGUGCUGGGAAUAUGAAGAUGGACCAGACCCAGCCUGCAUCUCUCUGAGCUUAGUGUCUCUGACACACAGUGUGGGGGUCUCUGUGCCAGGCCCCACACCGUGCAGUAACUGAGGGGCAAGCAAGGAGCUCUGGGAGGCAAGGUGGGGCAGGCAGAGUGUUGAUGGAAUUGAGGUGAGUCUUCCUAGUUGAAUAAGAGCUUGUCAGUGAUGAGCUGGGGGGAGGGUAUCGGAGGCUGAGGGCACUGGAUGCAGGCUAAUAAUAUGGCAACAGUUUCAUUUGGUGAGAGUGAGGGAUACAGUGUGGGUUAGAGUUGGAGUGGGAGACCUGGGACCAGAGCCCCUCAGACACCAUGCAGAGGAGUGUGAACUUGAUAUCCCUCAAUCAGUAGCUUUGAAACUUUUUUGUCUGUGACCCAUAGUAAGACAUACCUUUUUACAUGAUGAUUUAUUACGAGGCCUGGUCCUAUCACUUGCGGGGCCUGGGCAAGAGGACAAAUGGGGAUACAAGAUAGCUAAUUAUUUAAGAAGUUAUAAGUCAAGGCAAUAAACUAUUACAAAAGGAUAUACCAAUCUACCUUGACAAAUGUACCUUAUAACAAAAACAGUGAAAAUUGUGUGUAAAACCACUGAUACCAAAUAACUGAGAAGAGUGCAAAUUUAAAGUUAAUUUAGACUUCCACCAAAAGACUGUCAUUCAUCCUGGGGAAACUCAGGGACGAUGGCAACCAGGCCAAGUAGAGGAGAGGAGGAAAAGGUUCCCUCAGCCGUCUCUUCUGAUGCCUGUGGCAUCUGUCCUUUGUUUUCUUCUCAUGGCCGGGGGGAGGAGCUCUUCUAUCUGUCCUAUCAUUGCCCCUUUCCUAUACGUACCAGCCAGGCACCUGAGUUCCAAGGGCCAUCUAGACUGUGCCAGUCUGGUCUAAGGGGCAGCCUCUGGCCCCGUGGUGCUCCAGCUUCCUACUCUCGCGGAAGGGUUUGAAUUAAGAAUUCUCUGAGCAGAAAUGUGCAAGAGUAGGGAAAGCAUGUUCCUCUGUCCUCUUUGCUCACCCAUCCUUCUGUCCUCAGGUCCAGUCUCCCUCCUUCCAGCAACAGCUUUUGACCACCCCUUGGGCUGGAGGUACACACACACUAGUCGCACAACCUGACUUAAAGAAAGGGCUUUAGUCCCUAGGCUGAGGAAGCCAGCUCAGGGCCAUUUGGGUGGAGAAUGCUGGGGACCCUGGUACUUGGAGCUUCAGAUAGAAGGGACUCCUUACCUGGUGGGGAGGAGGACACAGCCAGAGGAAGGCCAGAGCAGAGGUUUUUUUGCUCACUUGUAAGGGUGGUAAUGCACAACACGCAUGUGCGAUCAUGCACACACACAAAUGCACAUACGUGUAACUAAAAGUUGCACAGAAUUGCACAUCCUCUCACUAUGUGAAGCGCAUUUGUCUUUUCUAUUCUAUUUCAGUUUAUUAUUGAUUUACUUAUUAUUUAUUUAUUUUUAACGAUCUUAUUUAUUUAUUUGACAGAGAGAGAGAGAGAACAAGUAGGCAGAGCGGCAGGCGGAGGGAGAGGGAGAAGCAGGCUUCCCGCGGAGCAGGGAGCCCGAUGCGGCACUCGAUCCCAGGACUCUGGGAUCAGGGCCUGAGACGAAGGCAGACGCUUAAUGACUGAGCCACCCAGGUGCCCCUAUUUCAGUUUUUAAAAAAUACUAGUUGUAAUCCACUAAAUGAAUUUUAUAAUCCAUUAUUGGGUCAAUUUGUGACCCAAGUUUGGAAAGCUCUGCUCUAGUUUUUGAGGUGGUGGUGAUGUGAUCAGAUUAGUGUUUUGGAAACUUCUGGCAGCUGAUGGGAUAAUAGAUUGGAAGGCAGGGUGGGAUAGUGGUUAUGAGAUUCUGAGCAAAAGAUAGGCCCGAAGAUGGUAAGAGUGAGAACAGAGAGGGGGGAAGGCAGUAGAAUCAAUAGGUCUUGGUGACUAAUUUGAUAUUGGGGGUGCAGAAGAAAACUGGAACAAUGUCAUGAUAUCCAAUUUCAAUGCUAUAUUGCAGGGAGUUAUAUUUGAGGGAAAAGAAAUUGAAUUCAGCCUCGUACGUAUACCAUUUGAAGCCCCAGGACAACCUUCAGUUAUUGACUUAGUUUAAGCAUCAGGUGAAACUUUACUUGAGAAUACUUGAGAAAAUGGGUCUUCGUGACAAAGGAAGCUGCUUCUUGCUUCUCCUUUUCCCCUCUCGCCUUUGAUGACUUCUCUUGAAACUAAUUUAGGUAAAGAAAGCCACUGCUUCCAAAAGUGCUUUGGUACCCUGGCAGAAUUUCAAAGAAAUCUCCUUUCCCACUUAGUUAACUGCAUUUCCCCAGGAAAAAAAAAAAAAGUCUUCUCUGUCAACG